AGAUUGCUUCAGUGUUUCCAGCAGACUGAAGGCCUCUAUUGGGGAGAUCAUUUGUAUAGUUUUGUUGGUGCCCAGCUAAUAAUGACAUCACCUAAAAAAUAAUUCAUUCUGCUGGACCGAGUGGGCUCUGUUGUCCUGGUAACCUUUGCUUUGAAGACUCACAGGAAGGAGGCAGGAAAACCAGCUGAAGAAAAUACUUGUAUAAAAAGGAAGGUUUCAUGAAGCACUCCCCCAACUACCAGGAGCUUAACACAAAUGAGAUGUGCAGUGCUUCAUCAGUACCAAAGCCCUCCUUCCCCUGUGAGGAACGCUCGUCCCGCAGCCAGGAGAAGGGAUCAUGUGCUGCAGGGCCUCUGGAGUUAUGGAGAGGGAUGGAUGCAUGUCUGAUUGCAGAAAUCUUUAAUUACUUUCAAAUGCAACCUGAAGUGCGCUGUGCUUUACUCAUCCUGGAUCAAAGAACAUCUCUGUUCCCAAAAUUCAUGUUGUAUUAGUCAAAGCACUUUGGAUGGCUCUCUCAGAAACAGAGGCUUUACCUGUUUACAGUCACAAUGGUUCAUUAUAAACACUUGUGACUUCUGUGGAAAUCAGUCUCAUAAGGUGUUAGCCCCUCUUCAAGGCUGGGUGGGAUGGGGCCAUGGGCAGCCUGAUCUGGUGGGGGGCAACACAGCAGGGGGUUGGAACUGGGUGGGUUUUAAUGUCCCUUCCAAACCAACUGUUCUGUGAUUCUAUAAUGUAAGUCAACCAGGUCUGGGGUUUCAGAGAGAUGUUUCUAACUGGGAAGCCCUAGCACUCUGAUGGGAGGUGUGCAGUUUGGGGAUGCUGUGUGCCAUCAACAAAAGCUGUAUUGAUCUGACUUCAUUUCAAAGUGAAAAAUCACUAAUACUGUGGUCAGGGGCUUUGUUUCUGCGGUCCCUAAAUAUUUUCCAUGGGGGCACCCAGGGAUCUGCAAGCAGAGUUAUUUGGAAAGGCCAUAGCAUGUCAGGAGGGGCUGGUGUUUUACUGUCAGUAGGAAGUAGGUUGCAGCAUUUAUCCAAGCCCUGCUCUGUAUCAGUGGUACCUCCCUGAAAUGCUGCAUCUCUUUGCAUGCCUGGAAUAAGGUGGUCGUACAGAAAGAUAUUUCCUUUAAAGCUGAAUCAUUUGGCCCCUAAAUUUAUGUACAGGAAGAUGCUUUUUUCAAGGCACAGGGAAGAGCAAGUUAUUUCAGCUUCGUAAUCUGGCAUCUCCAAGACAAAGACAACCCUCUUGUGACGACUUUGGCAGAGCUGGCAUCACCAUUCCAGGUCCUGAUCCAACCCAAUGGAUGAUCAGAGCAGCUCCAGAGAACAGCGCUGGCUGCAGCAGGUGAGAGCAGAGCUGGGGCAGCAGCCCUGAGCUCUGUAACCAUGGGGAGAGCAGGGAAUGGGGCCUGCAUUUCUUGUGCGCACAAAGAGCCUAUUGCUGGUGGAUAUAGAAAGUGCCUGAAAUAGAAGUAUUUUGGAAAUAGUGAAAAAAGGAGAUUUCGGAAGGACUCCAACCGUUCUCCAUGUGAUUUGCUCAACCCUUCAGAGCGUUUGUUGCUUUUUUUGGUGGUGGAAGCUAUUCAGGGAAUUUGACCUGGAUUUUUGCAUCACUUUGGAUGCCCGGAAAUUGCAUUUAUUUAAAGCAAAUAAGCCAUUUGUUUAAAAAAGAAAAAUAUUACUCAGCUAUGUGUAGGGGGAUGGCAGGUAUUAAAAUAAUUAAGCUAGCUUUAGUGCAGGUAUUUUCUGGGCUCAUAAUUUCCCAGGUGCCUCUGGUAAAGUGGGAGAACUGAAAUUCUUGUCUGAAAAGUAUCUGCUUCCUGAUAGUAGUCAAAUAGCAGAUGCAAGAGAGGCUAAAAUGCAUGAGAAGCUCAGCAGUCGCAGAGCCUCUAGCAAUCUGUGGCUCAGGGAUUUGCCAGCAGAAGUCCUUCUGCUUAACAGUUCUCAAUGGAUUUUGUGCUGUUGUUCUGUGAGUUGGUUUAGCAGCUCCUUAAACUCGUACCUGUGUCCACAUCUCGUAGAGAGGAGUUUCCUCACUUCUUUUGGGAUGAAGAACUUUCCUUUAGGUUUGGGGACUAUGUUUUUUUUUCUUUUUCAUUUGGUGGCCAUUGGUAAGCUUGCAUUAGAACAGGAGCCCUGGAUCCUCACCCAUCCUUUCCAUGCCUCAUGCAAUCAUGCAGUUAGCAUUUGUGCUAGCAGUUAGCUUUGUGCGUUUUGUCUCCAUGUAAGCAGCUCUUCAGUUGGAAGAGAUGACUUUGGGCGCCUCGGGCUGCCUCCAGUGAUGCUUCUUCCAUCCCUGCAGUUCUGCCCUAACCCAACUAUCCCUGUCACCAGGGCUGCUAAUGGUGCUCUCAGAGCUCCGAUGAGGCCUCUUUACCCCCAGCAGCAUCCCCUUGCCCUUGUCUUGCCCAGCAAGGCGCUCACAUCAAAGGACUCUGACCACUUUGCUCCUGGCUGCUGCCUGCCAGUGGUACCCAACAACAGUGGGGAGAAUAAGUGAUGUAGAGACAUAUUUCUCAAGACAACAGUUUUCUUUAUUAGCGAUCAGGACAGCUUUUUGAGGACAAAAUAUGGAUUUAGAGCAUAAUCUCUGGCUCUUGCUGUGUCACAAGCAUUCUUUAACCUUUGAAGACACCAUGGUUGUUUUGGAGUUUCAGAGUUAGACAGUCCCUCUCUCCCCCUCCUUUUAAUCACCAGCAAGAGGUCUGGGGAAUCCAAGACUCAGAUGUGAAUGUAUUCCAUUCUUAAGGUGCCUCCCUGCAUUGAACCUGCUUGCAUGGCAUGUCUCCAAAUCUCUUGAGCUUGAGCUGGUCGGAGAAGUUCAAAGCAAUCACAGUCCCUCUGAUACAUGGAUUCAUUACAAAUAAAAGUGAUGAUGCGUUUUAGCAUAAAUAAAUAUUAAUUUGUAUUUUUUUUUUCCACCAUUUCAUUUAUUUGCCAUCUGUGGUUCUCCUGAUUAGAAAAUCAUGCCAUCAUUUAAUCAAGGACAGGGAAGGGCGAGCUGGGGUUUGGCUGGCUGGUCCUGCAGCACAGGGAUCACCUUGCAGAUGGAUGAAUCCAGUAGUUAAUCUGUGGCUGACACUGCUCAUUCAUAUUACAGGGCAAGGGGUUACUAGUUUGCUAGGGUGAGUUCAAAUGAUGCAGUUCAGCUCCAGAGCAGAGUUAACGGGUCCCUUAGCAGUAGGGAUUCAGAUCCAGAAAGCCCUGGCUGUAGAUUGUCAACCCUAAAUUUCUGGAGAUAAUCUCCAAACUGAGCGAUGAGGUGGUUGGAGGAGAGGGUUGUGGGGGUGGGGAAGGACACAAAAAGCAGCCAAUAAAGUAAUCUGCAAAGGGAAAAAAAAACAAAACAAAACAGUGGACAAAAAGGCUUUGCUUUGCCAGCAUUACAACCUCUUAGGCUGCCACAAUAGAGUGUUCCUUCCCCAUUCUUUGCACCCCAGCCCCAGACAUUUCUGGUUAUUAUCUUGCCUGGACCAGAUGUAUGUUGACAAACAAAUUUGCAGGUAGCUCUGAUUUUUCUUGUGUGUAUGGUCAAAGGGACAGAGUCAUCUGCCCUUCAGUGUCUGAUUUUUUCAUUGUCCUGGCGCUGCUUUAUUCCCUCUGCUACACAGUGUGAAACAAAGACCUGAAUUAUGGCAGAAGGUAAAUGAAAGCUUUGAGAAACUAUUAGAACAAUUAGGCACUGAGGCACAGAACGGGGCGGAAGAGCAGAGGGCUUGCUGCUAUGAGGGCCUGAGAGUUAGAAACAUUGGGAAGGUUUGGAGCAGCUCCUCCAGAAGGGAAGAAGGAGAGAAAUGCAGAGAAAAACACUGAAGUGGUGGCAGCUACUGCCAUCAUCUGUGCUGUGACUGGCCACUGAAGUGAGUUAGCCUGACAGCAGCCCAAGUCUGAGCAGGGCACUACCACGAGAUGCCGUUACUGGGGCUCUGCACCCCCAUCCUGUAUAACCUGAACCAGGGUGAGAACUAACUCCCUGCAAAAAGAAUGGCAAACAGGAAAUUGGGAAAGAAUAGGUCCAUGGGGCAGCUCAUCAUGGGUGAGUUCUGGGUACAUGGAAGCUUCACCAAGAAAGGAAGGAGGACUCCAUACAUCUGCCGCUUUUCUCAGCUCCUUGUCCAGGGGGCUUCCAGAGAUGGUACAUGGCAUUAUAUAUAGUUAGCAAAAGAUCAAAUAGCAAAAGACCACUAAGAUUACCAUGUUGAGCAGACAUGAACAUUAGGUCUGAGGAUAAGAAAUCUGAGUAUGCAAUCAUACUCAUAGAUUCACAGAAUCAUAGAAUGGCCCAGGUUGAAAAAGACCAUAAUGCUCAUCGAGUUUCAAGCCCCUUCUAUGUGCAGGGUCAGCGAACAUCAGACCAGGCUGCCCAGAGCCACAUCCAGGCUGGCCUUGAAGGCAUCCAGGGAUGGGACACCCACAGCCUCCUUCGGCAACCUGUUCCAGUGCGUCACCACACUCAGUGUGAAAAACUUUCUCCUAAUAUGCAAACUAAACCUCACCUGGCCCAGUUUAAAGACAUUUCCCCUUGUCCUAUCACUGUUUACCCUCGUAAACAGGCUUUCCCCCUCCUGUUUAUAGGCUCCCUUCAAGUACUGGAAGGCCACAGUGAGGUCUCCAUGGGGCCUUCUCAACAUCAAGCUAAACAUGCCCAGUUCCCUCAACCUUUCUUCACCGGAGAGCUGCUCCAGCCCCAGAUUAAAACCCUAUAUGCCAAGAGGAAGAUGGCAAGAGCUUGUGAAACCACAAUCAGGAAGCAGCAAGAACCCGGGGAAUUUUCAGAUAAGGAUUGCUCAGUCAGUGGCUCAGAUUAGAGAAACGAGAGAUUGUUAAUAGAAUUUGAGAGCAUCUCACGGUGGCAUAAAGUCAACUAGAAGCAGAUCAAAGAAGAAAUACUAGUCCUAGUAAGGUUCACGGAUGGAAAUAAACUUCCUACAGAAGUGUACCCGAUGAAGGCAUUGCUGGAAAAGUCUUCCUCGGGGAAAUUAGAGGUUUCUGUCUACCUACUGGUUUAGGAAGCAUAAAUAUCUUGCAUCAUAUUCCCUUACAUAUGUCCAUAAAUACCAAGGAUGCCCCACCCCAUUUCCCCAGCCAA